GCCUAGGGCAUGGAAUGAAAUUAACCACCGUUAAUCCUCCUGGACCCAAUCUCCCCAUCAAGUAGCAGCUGUAUUUCGCGUCUUCCAGCCCUAAAUUGACCGUAUGGUUUUGUUUUAAAAUUCAAGGAAUAAAAUAUUGAAGAAGAAGUAUAACUCCUUUCAUGAUCAGUGAAUAUGCUGGGUCCCGUUAGCGCCUAACUCUGGCUCCGGAGGAUGCCGAACAUCUGGAUUAGAAGAUUCAGUCCAUCAUGUAGCUGUUGUUUCUACACGCAGGGAAAGGCAAAUAUCAUCCUCCCCUUCUCCACGGGAGAGAAGAGAGGGGCUCAGGAAUGAGCCAUUCAAGUUCACGAGCCUAGCAAGUAUGGAGUUGCGACUCUGUUAUGGACCCUUGGUCUCCAAACUCAGCAUCCUUGCCCCGCUCCUGCUCGAGAGCACUGUUCGCAGACAAGAGUGCUGACUAUAACAUGCACACAUCUGCACCCCAGUCCCCACAACUGGGGUCCCCAAUGAUGUGCCUGUGUUCGCUCACCCAUAUGUCCAGAGGGGCGACUGCAGGACCAUGAAUGGCCCAGCGUCUGUUUUCACUCACAGCACUAACCCUGCCCCCUGAUGGAGGCGCCGCAGUUCAGAUUCAUUAAGUUGAUACAAUACCGUGAGCUGUUCCUCUGGCUCAUCAACUACUUACUCCGCUUCCUCAAAGAGAUUCCCGAUGUUCUUCAGCGGCUCUGCGGCCGGGCUCUGGGCCAGGAUGUCUCUGAUCUCGUUGACUUUCUUCUCCACUGAGUCCACAGUCUCCCGGUAAGGCCCGAUCACACCACUGAUCUUCAAGGCCUUGGCCUUCUCCAGGAACUUCUGGGUCCUGUUGGUCAGCUCAGCGAUGAUCACAUCCCAAAGGGCAAAGCACUGGUGGCAGGGCGUGCAGUCGGGGAAGACCCCCGAGUACCCUCGAGUGCACUUGUCGCAGCGGGGACCCUCCACACCCUCGACGCAGACACACUGGCCGGUGGACUGGUUACACUGCGGCGUCUCGAUGCCCCUGGGGUCGCAGUCACAGGCUAGAAGGGAGACAGCAGUGCUGGCUGAUCACCUAGAUGACAUACCUCAGCGAUUUGGCACUUAAGAAUCUUCAGCCACUGCUGCAAUGGGAAGGUUUGCAUGUGGUCCAGGACAGUUUACCAACAGCCCCCAGACACCGCAGCUGCUUCUUCCAGAACACACAUCCUCUCAACCCUGGCUAACCACUUCUCAACAGUAACAGUGAUAAUAAAUUUUAAGUGAGCACUUUCUGUGCCUGUCAUU